rnacentral:rRNA from 1 species
UACGUAGGGUGCGAGCGUUAAUCGGAAUUACUGGGCGUAAAGCGUGCGCAGGCGGUUCGUUGUGUCUGUGGUGAAAGCCCCGGGCUUAACCUGGGAAUGGCCAUGGAAACUGGCGAGCUGGAGUGUGGCAGAGGGGGGUGGAAUUCCGCGUGUAGCAGUGAAAUGCGUAGAGAUGCGGAGGAACACCGAUGGCGAAGGCAGCCCCCUGUGCUAACACUGACGCUCAGGCACGAAAGCGUGGGGAGCAAACAGG